AGAGUUUGAUCUGGCUCAGGAUGAACGCUAGCUACAGGCUUAACACAUGCAAGUCGAGGGGAAACGAUAUUGGAAGCUUGCUUCCGAUAGGCGUCGACCGGCGCACGGGUGAGUAACGCGUAUCCAACCUGCCCAUCACUUGGGGAUAACCUUGCGAAAGUAAGACUAAUACCCAAUGACGUCCAUAGAAGACAUCUGAAAUGGAUUAAAGAUUUAUCGGUGAUGGAUGGGGAUGCGUCUGAUUAGCUUGUUGGCGGGGUAACGGCCCACCAAGGCGACGAUCAGUAGGGGUUCUGAGAGGAAGGUCCCCCACAUUGGAACUGAGACACGGUCCAAACUCCUACGGGAGGCAGCAGUGAGGAAUAUUGGUCAAUGGGCGAGAGCCUGAACCAGCCAAGUAGCGUGCAGGAUGACGGCCCUAUGGGUUGUAAACUGCUUUUAUAAGGGAAUAAAGUGAGAGUCGUGACUCUUUUUGCAUGUACCUUAUGAAUAAGGACCGGCUAAUUCCGUGCCAGCAGCCGCGGUAAUACGGAAGGUCCGGGCGUUAUCCGGAUUUAUUGGGUUUAAAGGGAGCGUAGGCCGGAGAUUAAGCGUGUUGUGAAAUGUAGACGCUCAACGUCUGCACUGCAGCGCGAACUGGUUUCCUUGAGUACGCACAAAGUGGGCGGAAUUCGUGGUGUAGCGGUGAAAUGCUUAGAUAUCAUGAAGAACUCCGAUCGCGAAGGCAUAUGUCCGGAGUGCAACUGACGCUGAGGCUCGAAAGUGUGGGUAUCAAACAGGAUUAGAUACCCUGGUAGUCCACACAGUAGACGAUGAAUACUCGCGGUUGGUUCGUUAGAAUCAGCCGCCAAGCGAAAGCGUUAAGUAUUCCACCUGGGGAGUACGCCGGCAACGGUGAAACUCAAAGGAAUUGACGGGGGCCCGCACAAGCGGAGGAACAUGUGGUUUAAUUCGAUGAUACGCGAGGAACCUUACCCGGGCUUGAACUGCCAGUGACUCAUGCAGAGACGCAUGUUUCUUCGGACACUGGCGGAGGUGCUGCACGGUUGUCGUCAGCUCGUGCCGUGAGGUGUCGGCUUAAGUGCCAUAACGAGCGCAACCCUUCUCCCUGUUUGCCAUCGGGUUAAGCUGGGCACUCCAGGGACACUGCCAUCGUAAGAUGUGAGGAAGGUGGGGAUGACGUCAAAUCAGCACGGCCCUUACGUCCGGGGCUACACACGUGUUACAAUGGGCGGUACAGAAAGCAGCUACCCCGCGAGGGGAUGCCAAUCUCAAAAACCGUUCUCAGUUCGGACUGGAGUCUGCAACCCGACUCCAUGAAGCUGGAUUCGCUAGUAAUCAAGAAUCAGAAUGUCGCGGUGAAUACGUUCCCGG
rnacentral:rRNA from 1 species